UUCCAGUUGUUCUAUUCAGUAUUUUAUGAAAAUCAGGUCGGCUGUUUGGUUUGGCUGUCAUAUGGGCUUUCGUAAUAAUCGUAGUCGUCUGUCCGUGUCAAAAUUGUAUCGGACGUAAAUAAGAGACAUAUACCGGGAUUGUGACUAUACAGCAUAAUUAUCAAAACCGGAUUUAAACCAAACCGUAUCUCCACAACUUUGAGUAUUCUUUACUUUAGUUUUAUCAUAUAAUUAUGUGUUAAAUAGUGAAUAUUUUGUGUCGUAAACAUCAGGUAAUGCCUGGGCGUUUGUCUAUUUACUUCAGGAAAUACUCAUGGGAACAUAAAUUGGUGUGUUGGUUAACAAAUGAGAAUAACUCUCUGACUACAAUGUAGGACCAAUUAACUGGCUGAAGAUGAAAUGUAAAGGGUGCCAUUAACAAACCAUUCUUGUCUUUUGUUCUCUGUCAAUUUAUGUACCUUGCCUGCUUGUGAUAAUACACUACAAAUUUUACUCCUAA